rnacentral:lncRNA from 1 species
GGUCUUUCUCUGCACAUUGAACUGGUGGACCUGGAGGCAGCCUGUUCUGUGACAGCGAGCCACCAGGCCGGACAUCGCUUAGGGGACGCCAGGCUGACUGUAAGUUUUCUGCUACAGACCUCAGCCACUGACCUGCAGACCAAAGCAGACCGCAUGGUACAGAUGAGCAUAUGCUCUUCCCUGUCCCGGAAAUUCCCGAAGCUGACGAUCAUCGGGGAAGAGGACCUGCCUCCUGGAGAAGUGGAUCAAGAACUGAUUGAAGACGGGCAGUCGGAGGAGAUCCUGAAGCAGCCGUGCCCAUCGCAGUACAGUGCAAUCAAGGAGGAAGACGUAAGGUCUUCAUAGGUCUUCUUGACAAUGUAACAGUGCUCAUUGGGAUUGCUUAUGAAGGAAAGGCCAUCGCAGGCAUCAUCAACCAGCCAUAUUACAACUACCAGGCAGGACCGGACGCCGUGCUGGGCAGGACCAUCUGGGGAGUCCUGGGUUUGGGUGCCUUUGGGUUUCAGCUGAAAGAAGCCCCUGCUGGGAAGCACAUCAUCACCACCACCAGAUCCCAUAGCAACAAGCUGGUCACAGACUGCAUUGCAGCCAUGAACCCUGACAACGUGCUGCGAGUGGGAGGAGCAGGAAACAAGAUUAUCCAGCUGAUUGAAGGCAAAGCCUCUGCUUAUGUAUUUGCAAGUCCUGGAUGUAAGAAAUGGGAUACUUGUGCCCCAGAAGUUAUCUUACAUGCUGUAGGAGGGAAGUUGACAGACAUCCACGGGAAUCCCCUGCAGUACGACAAGGAGGUGAAACACAUGAACUCUGCUGGAGUUCUGGCUGCACUGCGGAAUUAUGAGUACUAUGCAAGCCGCGUACCAGAGUCUGUCAAAAGUGCACUCAUUCCCUGAAGGGGUCUCACUUACUUACCCAGGGGCCUCGGUUCAAAGUAACAUAUCUUAGAACUGAUUAACUGAUUGAACAAUUAGAACUCCACUUGCAUUCAUCAUUGAUCAAUGAUUUAUUAGUAGGUAGGGAUAGAAGAUGGAAUUAAAGAAUUGUCUUAGGUAUAUAACACAAUUGUCAUUUCUCCUGCCUAAAAAAAAAAAAUUAGCCAAGUGGUAGCACUUAUGACAGUCAUGGCCAUUCCAGUGGCUGAGCUAGGAGGGUUGCUUGAGCCCAGGGCCCCGAGACUAGCCUCCUUCACAUAGCAAGACAUAGCCCAAAAACAAAGAAGAAAAACAAAAAAGGAAUUUACACUUGAUCUUAGCCAAAAGGCCGAGAAGCGAUCAAAAAAGGAAUUUAGUUUUACCAAUUAGCUAACUAGACCUGUUUUGUUGUUGAUGUUGUUGUUGUUUGGUUUUUUGAGACAGGGUUUCUCUGUGCAGUCCUGGCUGUACUGAAAUUUACUUAGUAGACAAAGCUGGCCUUGAGCUCAGUGAUUCCCCUGCCUCUGCCUCCUGAGGGCAGGGAUUAAGGGCUUGCCCCACCAUACCUGGCAGAAAUGUUACUGUUUUUAAGUGAAGAAAUGAAAAAGGGUUAGUUCUGAAUGACAGUCCAGGUCAUUUGUGGAAUCAACAUUCCUGCUGGUAACCAGAUUUCUUCAGGGCACAGUUACUCCAGAAUUUCAGUUUGUUUUCUUUUCAUGGUAAUGUUUUAAAUUUCUGAUUCCAAAUGAGAAUGCAUAUAAUAUUAUUUAUGUUGAUAGAUUUAUGGGGAAAGUUUGUCCAAGAUACUUAGUCCUAUCUCUUUAUGUUAUAUAUCAGAUUUUUUUCAAAAGUAUUUGAAAAUUAUAAAUACUGUGAGGAUUAAUUUAUUCUCUUGCCAUUAAAAGCUAUCAUCAG